GCGGCGGACGGGUGAGUAACACGUGGGCAACCUGCCUGUAAGACUGGGAUAACUUCGGGAAACCGAAGCUAAUACCGGAUAGGAUCUUCUCCUUCAUGGGAGAUGAUUGAAAGAUGGUUUCGGCUAUCACUUACAGAUGGGCCCGCGGUGCAUUAGCUAGUUGGUGAGGUAACGGCUCACCAAGGCAACGAUGCAUAGCCGACCUGAGAGGGUGAUCGGCCACACUGGGACUGAGACACGGCCCAGACUCCUACGGGAGGCAGCAGUAGGGAAUCUUCCGCAAUGGACGAAAGUCUGACGGAGCAACGCCGCGUGAGUGAUGAAGGCUUUCGGGUCGUAAAACUCUGUUGUUAGGGAAGAACAAGUACGAGAGUAACUGCUCGUACCUUGACGGUACCUAACCAGAAAGCCACGGCUAACUACGUGCCAGCAGCCGCGGUAAUACGUAGGUGGCAAGCGUUAUCCGGAAUUAUUGGGCGUAAAGCGCGCGCAGGCGGUUUCUUAAGUCUGAUGUGAAAGCCCACGGCUCAACCGUGGAGGGUCAUUG
rnacentral:rRNA from 2 species